rnacentral:tRNA from 1 species
GAUUCUAAUUAAACUAUUCCUUG